AAAUUUCGGUUUCAUAAAUAUAGUUUUACAAAUUGUUUAACUUAUAAAAUAAUAUGAUGGGCUUAAACCUGACAAACUCGCUGAAUUGAGAGAAGAAAAUAUAUAAAUGAAUAUAUGUUUAUAUCCAAUUGAACAUUGCCUGAUUCAAGACAAGACAAGACAAGAUUUUUCUAUCUUGAUGGAGUCAUCCUAACUAAAUAAAUACUGUUAUUGUAAUACUUUCAAAUGGCUUAUUAUUUACACAUUAUAAAUUUGAGAAACACCUCUGUUUUUUUAAAGAAAAAGCAGAGGAGAAUAAUACAGUUCAUGAACAUAAUGAGGAAAAAUUUAACUAUAAUAAAUAUCUACUAGUGA